rnacentral:rRNA from 1 species
CCUACGGGAGGCAGCAGUGGGGAAUAUUGGACAAUGGGCGCAAGCCUGAUCCAGCCAUGCCGCGUGAGUGAUGAAGGCCUUAGGGUUGUAAAGCUCUUUUAUCCGGGAAGAUAAUGACUGUACCGGAAGAAUAAGCCCCGGCUAACUUCGUGCCAGCAGCCGCGGUAAUACGAAGGGGGCUAGCGUUGCUCGGAAUAACUGGGCGUAAAGGGCGCGUAGGCGGAUGAUUAAGUCGGAGGUGAAAGCCCAGGGCUCAACCCUGGAAUUGCCUUCGAUACUGAUCGUCUCGAGAGUGGUAGAGGUAAGUGGAACUCCGAGUGUAGAGGUGAAAUUCGUAGAUAUUCGGAAGAACACCAGUGGCGAAGGCGACUUACUGGACCAUUUCUGACGCUGAGGCGCGAAAGCGUGGGGAUCAAACAGGAUUAGAUACCCUGGUAGUCCACGCCGUAAACGAUGAAUGCCAGCCGUUGGGCAGCUUGCUGCUCAGUGGCGCAGCUAACGUACUUAACGUACAUUCCGUCCGUCGGGGAGGUACGGUCGCGAAGAAUUAAAACUAACAAAGGAAAGUUAGACGGCGUGAGACGUGCCGAACGGACGACCGACGAGGGGAAGGUAGGAG